UUUGAGGAGCUCAAAUUAAUUUAGAUCCCCAACACCCACAGACUCUGUUUACAGCUAGAGAAUCAAACACUGAUGUCAAAUAACUUGCCAAAAGUCAGAGAAAGAUUGUGGCAGGGCCAAGAACAGGCCAGAUGGUGCAGCCACUUCUCUGCAGUUGAAUCCAUCACAUGUCACACAGGGGUAGGGGAGAAAGACCCUCAGGGCACCUCAGACAAUAAGGUCAAGGGCGCUACACCCGGCUGGGCAGGGGAACAGGCAGCGUUGGGGCAGCCUGGUGUAGACCCCGGCCCCCCGGCUCUCAGCCCUCGGGGCCCCAGGAUGACAAGCUACCCCCAGGCCCCUCCCCAGCCCAGGGGGGUGCGAGGGGCCAAGUGCCCAGGCCGGAAAGGGCUGACCCGCCUCCAGGCGGCAUCCCCGGGAGAGCGGGGUCCGCAAGCAGGCGGGCGCGGCCGGAUGACCCAAGCCCCCCGAGGCGCAGGCAGCGCAGCCCCUGCAGGGGACCCGGGCCGCACGUGCCCGCGACGGGCAAGAGCCGCAGCACAGUGCCCGCCACUAGGCGGCUCCGGCGCUCCCCCGGCAGGCCCCUCCCUCCUCCAUCGGACAAGGAGCCGCGCUGGGGGCGGGGGGGACAAGACAGCCGCCCCCCCCCCCCAUUUCCUAGCUCCAGUGCUAGGGGGGAGGGGCGCUGCGCACCGCGGCUGCCGGGUCGCCUACCUGCCGCGGCUGGGCUCCCACCUGCGGGGGCGCUGCUCGGCUCCCUCACGGCCCCGUCCCGUCCGGCCGCCGCAGCGGGCUGGGGAAAGGUUUAUAAGCCGCGAGCCUCGACGUCACGUUACCCGCUCCCGACCUACCCCGGAGGCAGAGGGAGAGUCGGCCCCCGCCCCCGCCCCUCGGAACGGUGGCUGGAGGGAGCCUCCGCGCGGCGCCGGGAACAACAUUCAGUCUGGUACGAUCACUAGAUCUGAAGCUGUGUCCAUGGCGCUCAGAAUGCAUGGCAAGCUGCAGGUGACCAUGCAGACAGAGCUCAUCAGCAGAGGUGACCAUGAUGGAGUCCCAGAAUUGCAAGAGCUCCAGCAUGGACUGAACAGGAGGAACGGGAUCUGAUUGCUGUAUGGGGAGAGGAAUCCAUGCUAUCAGAACUCCGUUCCAGUUUUUGAAAUGCCAAAACCUUUGUCAAAAUCUCCCAGGGCAUGAAGGACAGAGGCCAUAACAGGGACCCGAAGCAGUGCCGCGUGAAACUGAAGGAGCUGAGGCAAGCCUACCAGAAAACCAGAGAGGCGAACGGCCGCUCCGGGUCAGAGCCCCAAACAUGCUGCUUCUAUGAUGAGCUGCAUGCCAUUUUAGAGGGUUCAGCCACCACUACCCCAGCCGUGUUGUUUGACUCCUUCAGUGGAGAUGGAGGCAACACGGAAGCAGGUUUUGGGGACGAAGAAGAUGAUAGCUCACAGCAAGCAAGUGGAGAAACCAGUUUUCCUGACAGCCAGGAACUGUUUCUCACCCUGGACCUGGAGCCAGUACCCCCCGAACCCACCCAAGGCUGCCUCCUGGACCCGGCAGGCGGAGAAGGGACCUCCGCUGCAUGUGUUUCAAUGAUCACAGGAUCUUCUCCUUCCCAGAGGCUAGUGAAGAUUAGAAAGAAAAAAAAAACGCACUCGUGAUGAAAUGCUCUCUGAGCUCAUGCUGUCCUCCCACACUGACAGAGCACAGACGAAUGCUUGGAGGCAAAUAAUGUCAGAGUGCAGGAAAGCACAAAAUGACCGGGAGGAGAGGUGGCGGGCUGAAGACAGGGCUGAAGCUCAAAUGUGGCGGCAGCGUGAUGAGAGGAGGCAGGAUUCAAUGCUCAGGCUGCUGGAGGAUCAAACCAGUGUGCUCCAGUGUAUGGUUGAGCUGCAGCAAAGGCAGCUGGAGCACAGACUGCCACUACAGCCCCUGUGUAACCAACUGCCCUCCUCCCCAAGUUCCAUAGCCUCCACACUCAGACGCCCAAGAACGCGGUGGGGGGCCUCCGGCCAACCAGCCACUCCACCACAGAGGAUUGCCCAAAAAAUAGAAGGCUGACAUUCAAUAAAUUUUAAAGUUGUAAACUUUUAAAGUGCUGUGUGUCAUUUUCCUUCCCUCC